GACGAACGCUGGCGGCGUGCUUAACACAUGCAAGUCGAACGGAAAGGCCCUGCUUUUGUGGGGUGCUCGAGUGGCGAACGGGUGAGUAACACGUGAGUAACCUGCCCUUGUCUUUGGGAUAACUUCAGGAAACUGGGGCUAAUACCGGAUAGGAGCUCCUGCUGCGUGGUGGGGGUUGGAAAGUUUCGGCGGUUGGGGAUGGACUCGCGGCUUAUCAGCUUGUUGGUGGGGUAGUGGCUUACCAAGGCUUAGACGGGUAGCCGGCCUGGGAGGGUGACCGGCGACAUUGGGACUGAGAGACGGCCCAGACUCCUACGGGAGGCAGCGGUGGGGAAUAUGGCACAAUGGGCGGAAGCCUGAUGCAGCAACGCCGCGUGCGGGAUGACGGCCUUCGGGUUGUAAACCGCUUUCGCCUGUGACGAAGCGGGAGUGACGGUAAUGGGUAAAGAAGCACCGGCUAACUACGUG
rnacentral:rRNA from 1 species